GCUCAGUAUGGAGAUCAUAUCUGGUAUGAGACCAAUGCAUCUGGAGACUACUGUUAUGUGGGGGAACAACACUGUAUAGCCAGAGCACUGCAAAAGUCUGUGAGUCGCAGGAAGUGUGCAGCGUGUAAGAUCGUGGCCCACACCAUCUGUGUGGAACAACUGGAGAAGUUCCCCACAUCUAGAGCCAUUCUGUUGGAUGCCACCCUGCCCCUCAAUGACCCAG